rnacentral:rRNA from 1 species
GCAGGGAAUCUUGCGCAAUGGGCGAAAGCCUGACGCAGCGACACCGCGUGGGGGAAGAAGGCCUUAGGGUUGUAAACCCCUUUUCUCGGGGAAGAGAACGGACGGUACCCGAGGAAUAAGGUUCGGCUAACUACGUGCCAGCAGCCGCGGUAACACGUAGGAACCGAGCGUUGUCCGGAUUUACUGGGCGUAAAGGGCGAGUAGGCGGCUCGUUAAGUCUCAUGUGAAAUCUCCCGGCUUAACUGGGAGGGGUCAUGGGAUACUGGCAAGCUUGAGGGCAGUAGAGGAAAGUGGAAUUCCCGGAGUAGUGGUGGAAUGCGUAGAUACCGGGAGGAACACCAGUGGCGAAAGCGACUUUCUGGGCUGUACCUGACGCUGAGGCGCGAAAGCAUGGGGAGCAAACCGG